rnacentral:rRNA from 1 species
UACGGGAGGCAGCAGGGGGGAAUUUUGGACAAUGGGCGCAAGCCUGAUCCAGCCAUGCCGCGUGAGUGAAGAAGGCCUUCGGGUUGUAAAGCUCUUUCGGCCGGGAAGAAAUCGGCGACUCUAACAUAGUCGCUGGAUGACGGUACCGGACUAAGAAGCACCGGCUAACUACGUGCCAGCAGCCGCGGUAAUACGUAGGGUGCGAGCGUUAAUCGGAAUUACUGGGCGUAAAGCGUGCGCAGGCGGUUUUUGUAAGCAGAUGUGAAAUCCCCGGGCUUAACCUGGGAACUGCGUUUUGUGACUGCAAGGCUAGAGUACGGCAGAGGGGGUGGAAUUCCUGGUGUAGCAGUGAAAUGCGUAGAGAUCAGGAGGAACACCGAUGGCGAAGGCAGCCCCUGGGCCUGUACUGACGCUCAUGCACGAAAGCGUGGGGAGCAAACGAGGAUUAGAUA